UGGAGUGAAUACCAUGUUUGCAAGUGUGUUCUGUUCUUUAGUAUUCAAGUUUUCACUCCUCGUACGCUGGUCACUUAAAUGCACGAUAGAACUACUUGCUCGGCCCCAGCCAACUGAACGGAGGGAGGAAGCAGUGCGACCCCUAAGCCAUGAUGAUGCACUGAACCUAGCAUACCAUCCCGAGUGCCUGUCAGUUGACUGAGACUCCCUGUACAUCUCCCCUGCAGUCUGUUAAUCGCCUAGUCCUGUCAAGUAUCACCGCCAAGCGAUCAUCAAUGAUGCCGCAAGGCUAAGUACUCAACCUCGCCAAGGCUCGGGCCUUCGCCAAGGCCCGGGCCCAGACUCAGCGUAGGGUUACCGGCGUAUAACCGACAAGAAGCCUCGUCGACCCCGGAACCCGUCAGGGAGAGAGUCAGUAUGUCGACACUCCAUUUCACGAAUUGUUGCAAAGUGACCAUGAAUACCAAGUUCACCAGGACGGAACCCAUCCUUGUUACAUGCUGGAGCUGUGGAGCUGACCCGAGUCUAUUGAACCAGUGUCUACGGUCAAAUCUACGGAUCCAUCAAUAAGUGCGAAGUCGAUGUACAAUUAUUGUCAUCGGAACACGAUGUGUAUUAAAUUGCCUGUACACAAGUAUGUGGUCUUAAUUCUACAAAUAAUCGCGCGCGGAUAUUAUUAGGAUUUAUAUCACUGGAUCGCCGGAAUUGAAUCAAAUUUGCCAAUUAUGUUUCUUAUACAACGAACAAGUAAUUCUCGAACAAUAUUACAUACUUAAAUAUAAU